CGCCAUUUUUGGUUUAACUUCUUAACUCAGUUUUCAUUAAAGGAUUUGUGAGUUUUCGUGAAAUGGUUCAGUAUCUUAUUAUAUAUAUUUGGAUAUUUGGGAUUUCAUGUAUGUAAUAAAGGAUUUGUGAGUUUUCGUGAAAUGGAAAUGAUUUUUUACUCCUCGUGGUAGCGAGUUUUAAAAGAAAAAGAUUUCUGUGUGGGACUCGAGUUUUAAAAGGUUUUCUAAGUAGGAAACAUUUUAAACUAAUAGUUGUGGAUUUAUGAUUAAAACUCUAUUGCGAAUGAUGUAUGAAUAUAUGAAUGUAUGGAUGUUUGUAUAUUCAGAUGCGGUGGUUGUAUACUGUUUAUGUAUCUUGUACGUGUGCGACACCGUACAAAUACAGGGGAGACUCUGUCCGUAUGAACAGUGGACUCCCUAUAUU
rnacentral:lncRNA from 1 species